GGGAGAACGCAGGACUCUGGGCCGUGUCCCCUGGGCGCCCUGGGAUCCAGGGCCUGUGCUGCUGGAAUCGCGCUCCUGGGGCCACGGCUCCU
rnacentral:pre_miRNA from 1 species